GGUAGUAUAGCUGAACAUAGCGGUAGGCUGUAAGUCGACACGCAGGUAAACCUCUUGCUGCCA
rnacentral:tRNA from 1 species